rnacentral:rRNA from 1 species
UACGUAGGUGGCAAGCGUUGUCCGGAUUUACUGGGCGUAAAGGGCGUGCAGGCGGUCUGUUAAGUGCAGGGUGAAAGCUCCCGGCUCAACUGGGAGAGGUCCUUGCAUACUGGCGGACUUGAGGGGGGUAGAGGAAAGUGGAAUUCCCGGUGUAGUGGUGAUAUGCGUAGAUAUCGGGAGGAACACCUGUGGCGAAGGCGGCUUUCUGGGCCCUACCUGACGCUGUGACGCGAAAGCGUGGGGAGCGAACCGG